rnacentral:rRNA from 1 species
UACGUAGGGUGCGAGCGUUGUCCGGAAUUACUGGGCGUAAAGAGCUCGUAGGCGGUUUGUCGCGUCGUCUGUGAAAUCCCGCAGCUCAACUGCGGGCUUGCAGGCGAUACGGGCAGACUUGAGUACUGCAGGGGAGACUGGAAUUCCUGGUGUAGCGGUGAAUGCGCAGAUAUCAGGAAGAACACCCGUGGCGAAGGCGGUUCUCUGGGACGGUACUGACGCUGAGACGCGAAAGCGUGGGGAGCGAACAGG